UUUUUUUUUUUUCCACACUGAAUUUAAGUGAAGAAUAUAGUAGAAGUAGCAGCAGAAGAUAAAAUUUGCUUUAGGAGAGUUCCAAGGAAGGAGGAAAAGAAGCUACAACCAACAACUCCUAAAUGGAUCACAGGAGGCUGAAGAUCCUCUUUGCUGAAAUGCAGCCACGAGACUCUCACUUUGGGGCUGACGCAUUACCUGCUGCAGAAGCUUAUCUGGAAAUGACUAAGAUAGGUCCAAUGAUCCGACAGUUUUGAUGCAGUCUGGGAAGUAUGUUAACUGCAGAGCUGCUGAACCAAAUUGUUUUGCCAGCCUUUGCUCAAGAACCUGUUUGGUAGGUGAAAGCUGCACCAAGAAACAUCUCCAGUUCAUGGAAUCACGUAGCUGACAGACACACAGAGGUACAACGUGUUCUUCAAGCUUGAACUUGAAGCUUGCACUUGAAGGGUGCAAAGCAGGGUACACA